GAAUAUUGCACAAUGGGCGAAAGCCUGAUGCAGCAACGCCGCGUGAGUGAUGAAGGCCUUCGGGUUGUAAAGCUCUGUCUUUUGGGACGAUAAUGACGGUACCAAAGGAGGAAGCCACGGCUAACUACGUGCCAGCAGCCGCGGUAAUACGUAGGUGGCAAGCGUUGUCCGGAUUUACUGGGCGUAAAGGAUGCGUAGGUGGAUAUUUAAGUGGGAUGUGAAAUACCCGGGCUCAACUUGGGUGCUGCAUUCCAAACUGGAUAUCUAGAGUGCAGGAGAGGUAAGUGGAAUUCCUAGUGUAGCGGUGAAAUGCGUAGAGAUUAGGAAGAACACCAGUGGCGAAGGCGACUUACAGGACUGUAACUGACACUGAGGCAUGAAAGCGUGGGGAGCAAACAGG
rnacentral:rRNA from 1 species